rnacentral:rRNA from 1 species
UCUUGGUCCAUUAGAGGAAGUAAAAGUCGUAACAAGGUCUCCGUUGGUGAACCAGCGGAGGGAUCAUUGCUGGAACGCGCCCCAGGCGCACCCAGAAACCCUUUGUGAACUUAUACCUUUUGUUGCCUCGGCGCAUGCUGGCCUCUAGUAGGCCCCUCACCCCGGUGAGGAGAAGGCACGCCGGCGGCCAAGUUAACUCUUGUUUUUACACUGAAACUCUGAGAAAAAACACAAAUGAAUCAAAACUUUCAACAACGGAUCUCUUGGUUCUGGCAUCGAUGAAGAACGCAGCGAAAUGCGAUAAGUAAUGUGAAUUGCAGAAUUCAGUGAAUCAUCGAAUCUUUGAACGCACAUUGCGCCCUCUGGUAUUCCGGAGGGCAUGCCUGUUCGAGCGUCAUUUCAACCCUCAAGCAUUGCUUGGUGUUGGGGCACUGCUUCUAACGAAGCAGGCCCUGAAAUCUAGUGGCGAGCUCGCCAGGACCCCGAGCGCAGUAGUUAAACCCUCGCUCUGGAAGGCCCUGGCGGUGCCCUGCCGUUAAACCCCCAACUUUUGAAAAUUUGACCUCGGAUCAG